AUUAACUCAGCCCAAUAAAAAAAAAUCAAACAGGGCUUUGAGAAAGAGAGAAAGGACGAGGGAGAGUGAGAUCUCUCAUUCUCUCUGAAACCCUAGAAUCUCAAUGUCGUCGCCAUCGCCAUCGCCACCGCCACCGCCACCGCCACUACCAUUGUUGCCGUCCUUGUCUCCUUCGUCAGCACAUCACCGGUGGAGUUAUAAAUGGAGGACGAGGUGAUCGUGGAGCCUCUCUUCUGCUUCUGCGUCGUCUUCCAGGGUUCUUCCGCUGGUUCUGCUUUUGCUCCGGUGGCUUGAAGUAGUCAGAGCGUGGUUUCGGCGCGGACGCGGUGGCAUUGGCUGAGGAGAUCUGGAAGGCGAGUGAGCGGGAGUCUCUGGAAGCUUCGAUUGAAGCUGCUUUCGAAGCUAUCAGAUCUCGUGGAACUGAUUUUCAUGUCAUUCCAAGUCAUUGCGAUUGCUAUUUCUGCACCUUUUCUGUGGAUUUCGUGAACUGAAUUGCAGAGAAAGCAAGAAUUGCCUCAACUCAAGCUUCUCACGACUUCUAAAGUGAACAAUAACCGAACAAUCACACAACUGAUGUUCUCAUUGCGGAUUUAGGAUCAGCAUCUGCUACAAUUAAUGAUAGCAAGAAAGUUUCACGCCAAGACAUUGAGCUUGUAAGCAAAUUCUACUAGCUUGUCAGGAAGCUAAUUUAAAAAAAUAAAAUAAAAUCUUGAAACAAAUUUGUUUACAGAUGCAGAAUUUGAUAGAAAGAGUCCAUUUUGAUUGUGUUGCUUGUUAGGUUAAUCUCCUAUUUCAGAGCUUGGAGAAAUUAUCACUUGAUAUGAGAGGCGUGGGAACUAAAGUCUCGAAAACUUAAAUUUAAAGAGUCAGAGGAAAGGGUUGAAGAGGUGCUAUUUGAGGAAAAACCUAAGGCUGAUUAUGUUCAACUCCUAUUGCAUCUUGCUCUCAAAGGGUUAAGUAUCUCUUCUCUUUAUAGACUCAAAUUUAUUGCUUUCGAUCACUCUUGGAUACACCCCAUCCUUGAUAAUAUCCAAAUAUUGAAAGUGAACUGGUGUUCUGAUAUAAAGAAUUUAGUACCAAGCAAAGUGUCUUUUUCUAGUCUGAUGAAAUUGGUUGUAUAUUAUUGCAAUGCUUGGUUGUAUCCUACAAUUAUAUUAAUUUGAUUGGGAGCCUGACUUAAGUUCUUAUUAUUUAGUUUAAGCUUGAUUUGCUAGUUGUAUAGUACCAACCAACUUUGGUUGUAUCUGGAUUCUCUUGAGUUUUAAUUGAAGAUAAGGAAUAUAAAUAUGAGCAUGCAGCAAGUUCGAUUUUUUUUUGUUUUAUUAUUUUUAUUUUUUUAAUACAUGUUACGUUUAAUGGUUUUGCAGAAAAUAGAGAUACUUCCUGUCAAUGAUUUGGAUAUUGCUUUACACAAUUUUGUGAACAAGGAUGACAAAAAUGCAUUUUACGUGUGUGUACAAAGCAAUAUUAACGAAACAAAAAACAAAAUUGCUAAGGAUUCAAAUACCAUGAAGUUUGAUGACGAAGAUUUAAUUGUUAAAGUUGGAAAGUGCUUAGAGGAACGUGUCAAACAAAGAUCCACACAAUCUAAGGAACCCACACAGUUCACUUAUGCUGAUCAGUCAAUGGAGCUAAACCCAACAUAUCAUAUGGUACUAUUGCAAUAGUGAUGGAAAAGCUAGGUCCUCUGGUGCAUCUCAAAAUCCAACGAGAGGGAGGGGCAGAGGCAGAGGCAGAGGUUCUAGCAUGAUGAAACAGACAACUCUUGAUGGAGCAUUUCGCUCAUCUCAAAGGUUAUGACUCAAACCUAGUAACCUACUCGUUUAAAAGAGAAUGAUGUUAAUUUUUAUAUAAUAGACUUUUUUUUAAUUGAAUACUAUAUCUGGAGGGUAAUAACUCCCAUUUUUAAUUGCUUGUUAAGCUAUGGAUAUACCAGUAAUUAUGCCUGAAUAAGCAGAUAUACCUGAGUUAUUUGUACUAGCUGAGUUUUUAAUUCUUAAGAACUUUAACAAGACUGCCCGAGAACUCAUUAUGCGAUUACAGAAGAUCGAUAGUGACAAUUAUCUUGAAGUAAGUAAUCUCAGAUUUUAGUUCCCCUGAAUUUUGUCAUAUUACUUAUUCUCAUUUGAUCAAUUACUGAAAAAUUUUGAAUAUUAACAGAUACUAGGACUUGAGUGAUAAUGAUUAAUUUUCCCAUUUUUUGAUGAUACAAACUCUUUGCCAAAUGUUAACCAUCUAACUUUUUCUAAUGAGAAAGGACAUUGUUUUGUAGUUUAUACUCAAUUUGGUGUGAUGACUUAGAUUUGAAAAUCUCAGGUAUUGCUUGGUAAUUGUUGUUCAGUUUUAUUGUUGACAUGAUGAUGAUUAUGUCUAAUCCAAUUGGGCCCGUGACCCGAAAAGUAAAACAUGUUUCAGACUUAGGUUUACUACUUUCUAUCAAAUAUCAUUGAUAGGUUCAAUGUGUGUACCACAAUAUUAAUAUUGCUUAACAGUUCAUUGCAUGGUGUACUUUCUGCAGAUGAUUCUCAGCGGUGAAACACGGGGCACAAGGUAGAUAGUUAAGGUUCUGAAUAGUGAAGGGAAGGUUAUUGCAUAUGCUAAACCAUGAUUCUCAAUGGUAAUUAACGGUUUAGUAGUGCCUAAACCGAGUGGAGUAAAAUUUUAAGUUUUUGUGUCUAUUUUUCUAUUUCAUACCAAUUUGAUUGAUGUAAUUUGUUUAAAUUUGUAUUCAUUCUAUACUAAUUACUAAUUUCUUUAAAGUUAAAUAAUUUUUAGUUUGAUUGAUGUAAUUUGUUCAAUGAAUAAUAGUGAUUUAUAGCUUUCAAAUAGGUUCAGUUUCAAUUUUAAA